AACCAUCAACUCCUGGCACUUUAGUCGGCUCUAUCUCCCAAAGAGCCUCUCUGAUUUCCUCAACCUUGAACUCACGCAAUAGUUUUUCAUUCAUAGAUGGAGACAUUCUUGAGGAAACUCCUUCAUACGUAUUAUCAUCAUCCCUCUGCCAAGAACUAGUAAAUAAUUCCUUAAAAUAGCUGACUGUCGUCUUCAUCAUCUCAUCUUCCUCAGUAAUAACCGAACCAUCCUCACAUUUGAGUCUCAUGAUCUUAUUCAUACGGCGUUUGUUAGAAGUAAG
rnacentral:lncRNA from 1 species